ensembl:lncRNA
CUUUAUUGGGAAUGUUUUCAACCUGGAUGCUAAACAACCACAUAUUCAAUUAACUAAGGUAACUCACAGCCUCUUGUUGUGGUUUCUAAGUCUGAUCGUAUAAAGUAUUUCAAAUUAGGCUUGGUAUCCUAAUCCCUGUAACCGUGAGUAUUUUUCCCAUUUUUUUUUUCAUGUUGUCUCUUUCCCUGCAGAUGUCAGACCGUUUAUGGCAACAUUUUCAGCUUGCGUCUGGGAAGCUUAAACACUGUUGUUGUGAAUACCUACAGCCUGGUCAAGAAAGCUCUUAUUGACCAUGCAAACAUUUUCACAGGCGUCCAACCAAUGAUGUUCUCAAAAGAAUAAUCAAGUGCCAAGGUAUACAUUAAUGUUGGGAGAAUAACUUUAAAUGAUAUUCUAACACUCCCUAAAUAUCACAUCUUUCAUGAAAUGUCUGGCAACAGGUGUAACCUUCAAUAAUGGCUACAGUUGGAAGCAACAGAGCGGUUCACUCUCAGUACUCUUAAAUACUUUGGUGUGGGAAAGAGGAGCCUGGAAGUCAUCAUCAUGGAAGAGUACAAAUACCUUCACCAGACCAUCAUGGAAACCAAUGGGCUGCCAUUCGACCCUCAUUACUUUAUUAACAAUGCUGUCUCCAACAUCAUCUGCUCCAUGGUAUUUGGGAGGAGGUUUGAGUACACUGACCAAAGGUUUCUGAACAUGCUCAGUCUUGAUGUCUAAAGCCCUUAAACUACAAACGUCUGUGUGGAUACAGGUAUUAUGAGAUGAAAAUAUAUAGUGGUCUGUCAUAGGACUUCCUAAAAUUUCCACUUAAGGUGCAACAAAAUGCAUUAUUUGAAACAACUAAUAAAUUAAAGGUGCCCACCAAGCGACCUGCUGUCUUGUCCAUUGUAGCUUUACAGUGUUUUCCCUUAUGUUAUGGAACCCCUCCCGGACCUCAUAAAGACCUGUUUCCUGCUCCAUCAAGUUUGUGCUUUUAUAAAGGAAGAGGUGGACAAGCA